rnacentral:rRNA from 1 species
UACGGAGGGUGCGAGCGUUGUCCGGAAUCAUUGGGCGUAAAGAGCUCGUAGGCGGCUUGUCACGUCGAUUGUGAAAGCCCGAGGCUUAACCUCGGGUCUGCAGUCGAUACGGGCUAGCUAGAGUGUGGUAGGGGAGAUCGGAAUUCCUGGUGUAGCGGUGAAAUGCGCAGAUAUCAGGAGGAACACCGGUGGCGAAGGCGGAUCUCUGGGCCAUUACUGACGCUGAGGAGCGAAAGCGUGGGGAGCGAACAGG